UACAGAGGUCUCAAGCGUUGUUCGGAUUCAUUGGGCGUAAAGGGUGCGUAGGUGGCGCUGUAAGUCGGGUGUGAAAUUUCGUAGCUUAACUCCGAAACUGCAUUCGAUACUGCGGUGCUUGAGGACUGGAGAGGAGACUGGAAUUCAUGGUGUAGCAGUGAAAUGCGUAGAGAUCAUGAGGAAGACCAGUGGCGAAGGCGGGUCUCUGGACAGUUCCUGACACUGAGGCACGAAGGCCAGGGGAGCAAACGGG
rnacentral:rRNA from 1 species